rfam:Subdoligranulum variabile DSM 15176 genomic scaffold Scfld0, whole genome shotgun sequence.
GCCGGUGUGUCGGAAUUGGCAGACGACCGCGACUCAAAAUCGUGUGGAGAAAUCCGUGUGGGUUCGAGUCCCACCACCGGCA